rnacentral:RNase_P_RNA from 1 species
CAGGCAGGUUGGAUAACCGCUUCUUUGUGCAUAAAACAGGGAAGAGGAAAGUCCGAACUCAGAGGGCAAACGUAUCCCGAUAUCAUCGGGACAUAAGCUUGUUAAGCUUGUAAGGAUUAGAGCCGCAGAGACGAGUCCUUGAAACUUUUGUUUCAAAGGGGUGAAACGUGGCAAUCUCUACGUGAGUUAAGGUCAAAUAGCCUACGCUUAAAGCUUGCUCGGCAUAGUGGGUGGGUUGACCGCGUGAAUCCUGAAGCAAUUCAGGGUCAAGACAAAUGGUUAUCUAAAACAGAAUUCGGCUUACAAACCUGUCUGCUUU